GCUAGAUUUAGGGGCUAGUGUAAAUAUUCUUUUUUCAAUUUAUAAGCAACUAAAAUUGAAAAAAUUUCUACUAACAAAGAUCACAUUAUAAUUAGCAAAUAUAUCUCUUAGGAUCCCUAAGAGAAUGGUAGAGGAUGUUUUAAUCAAGGUUGACAAUUUUAUCUUUUCUUUAGACUUUAUCAUUUUAGAGAUUGAACUAGUUAUGAAUUCCAAGGGUCAUAUCUC
rnacentral:lncRNA from 1 species